ensembl:lncRNA
CCCCCUUUACCUGUUAAUGCCCUACUUGGCCCCCUGGCAAAACUUUGCUAGACCCGCCCCUGCACAGUUACCAGCUGUCAGCUACGUAAAAAAGGAUGCUGGUGUAGAAAGUAAAUUCUAACAACAGCUUAUCAAGCUUAAAUGUGCUGCUGUUGUUUAUCCACUGGUUUCCUCUUUCUGGUGCAAAGUGGGCGAACAAACAAACUGGAGAAACGGGACUUGCGACAGAAAAACCGAUCAGCUGAUCAUUGAUCAGUUUCAUGAUUGAAGUAGCAACAGGAGAGGGAGGGAGAGAAGAAGAGGCAGUCGCUCCAUAUAUCGGUUGUUAAGCUUAUCAUGGGAAUGCUUUACAAACAUUCAGAGAUGAACUUACACACUUGCUUUACUCCUCUGGGAUAACUUUCUCAGAGAUAAAAUACCGAUUUGGUAACGAGGCUCCAAAUGCUCAGCCAGACCACCGACAGGUCUCACAUGCCACAGCCACUCUAUCACGUGACGCACACUGCUCCGACGUGCUAAAGUUAUGAGCUGAGUUACGCCAUGUCGCAAGUUUUGUGAAGUGCUUUUGUGAUAAUUAAUGGAUCGGAUUACAUUUUUUAUUUCUCUCCGAUAUCCGAUCCAGUAAUUUAGGUCAGUAUCAGACCGAUACAUAAUAUGGGAUCGGUCCAUCUCUAGUUUAAACUAAAAAAGCAGAAACCUCCCUCCUACUGAUGCUGGCAAAGCAUCACUCAGUGUGGGAAAAAUACUUUUAAAAGAACUCUGAACCUGAAGAUGAGAACUGCUCAUCCAAAUGAACUCAGAUUUGGCACUCAACUCAAAUCCCUAGAAAUACACCUCCCAAAUAUGAAGAAGAUCGGAUGAACCGGUGUUGAGACAGACAAACAGAAGAGGACCAAGGACACAGCCUUGAGGAGCUCCAUCCUGAUUAAUCCUGCUGUUUUUAACCUCUCUGUCAUUUUGCAGCUGGCAGUGGUCGCACCAACUGGUCUUCUGGUGCGAAGCGAGCCAAUGUGGUCGGCAGCGUCAUUCUCCAUGAUAAGCUGGAGUUGUGGAACUCCUCAAGUGGAUCGAUCCACUAUCACCGAGGUACUGCCGCCCUAUACUACAGUUCACUGUUUUUCCUUCGUUUUGUUGUUUGUUUCUAUUUUUGUUGUGUCCAUGUUCUUUCUCUGUGGUCUUCAAGGUCUUCAGGCAGGUGACAACACGCUGAACAUCCUCUGCUCCCUUCGAGUGGCUCGGACACUUGUCUCCAGAGGUUUUGUGGACGUCUCUCAGCCGGAUGCUCGAGCUGCUGUUCUGUCAGACUACGUCCACUUCCUGACCACACCCGGUUCACACAAGGACACCUACGCUGAAUCCUUCCACCGCUCAUUCUUUGCUGACUGGCAGGAGAGCAAACCGACCUCGCCACAUGAAGUUCUGAAGUUUGCAGAGGAACGCUCCGGGAUGAAAACGAGCUCUCCGUUCCCUGACUGCCAGCUAGAUGCCAUUGGCUGCCUUCCCAUGAUCCUUCCUUUCAUCCUUCUGUCUGCCUCAGCCAAUGAGGAGCGAGCCGUUUCAGCAGCGGUGGAGUUCGUAAAGCUCACCCAUCCUCACCCCAACGUGCCCGAGUACGUGACGAUCUACAGCCGGGCACUGCACGCGGUACUGGGCGGGGCCAGUGUCCGUGAGCAGGCUGAGCAAGCUCUGAGGAGACUGGAUGCCUGGGACGCCUGCCAGAGCUUCAGUCGCAAGGCGGCCAAGUUUUCUGUGUCCUCUGAGGAGAGACUGAAGGUCCAUCAGAGCGCUGUGAACUACCUUGGUAUGGCCUGCUACAACAAAGGUGCUCUGUCCAGCCUGUUCUACCUGGCCCACGAGUUUCAUGAUGACCCCAAAGGAGGAAUCCUGGCAAACACCAACUGUGGAGGUGAGAACUGUAACCGUGGAGCAGCGCUCGGGGCCUUGCUGGGGGCCGGAGGCGCCCACACAGGAAAUUGCAUCCUACAGGAGUGGAAGGAUGACCUAAGAGAUGCUCAGGAAUUUAUCCCUGACAUCCUGAAGGACAUUGUUUAAGAAGAUCAUUGACCCCUGGAGGAAAGAAGAGGAACAGAAAUCGCACAGCACUGUAACUUUAAAAACUCCACCGCUUCCUGUUUACAAACUUGAUGACUCCACAUUCAAACUUUUUAUUUUUAAAGAAUAAACUCUUUAUCACAUGUGUUUUAUUUUUAUGGGAAAAAAAGAGCAAACUUGAACUUGAAAUGUAGCAAUGAACUGUUUACGUUACAUAUUUAUUAUUUGCCUUGCCAUCAUUUCACCUGCAGCCUUUAAAUGAUCAAAUCAAAAAAUAUGUGCUUUUGCUCACAUGGAAAAAAUAAACUAAAUGAUUCAA